GGACUACUGGGGUUUCUAAUCCUGUUUGCUCCCCACGCUUUCGCGCCUCAGCGUCAGAAACGGACCAGUGAGCCGCCUUCGCCACCGGUGUUCUUCCCAAUAUCUACGAAUUUCACCUCUACACUGGGAAUUCCACUCACCUCUUCCGUUCUCUAGCCAAGCAGUUUCAGAGGCCAUUCCAGAGUUAAGCUCUGGGAUUUCACCCCUGACUUACAUGACCGCCUACGCGCGCUUUACGCCCAGUAAUUCCGAACAACGCUAGCCCCCUUCGUAUUACCGCGGCGGCUGGCAC
rnacentral:rRNA from 1 species